AUUGAACGCUGGCGGCAGGCCUAACACAUGCAAGUCGAACGAGUGGCGGACGGGUGAGUAAUGUCUGGGAAAUUGCCUGAUGGAGGGGGAUAACUACUGGAAACGGGCGCUAAUACCGCAUACUAUCAGAUGAGCCUAGGUCGGAUUAGCUAGUUGGGGGGGUGAAGGCCUACCAGGGCGACGAUCCGUAACUGGUCUGAGAGGAUGACCAGCCACACUGGAACUGAGAGACGGGCCAGACGCCUACGGGAGGCAGCAGUGGGGAAUAUUGGACAAUGGGCGCAAGCCUGAUGAAGCCAUGCCGCGUGUAUGAAGAAGGCCUUCGGGUGGUAAAGUACUUUCAGCGGGGAGGCGGUACCCGCAGAAGAAGCACCGGCUAACUCCGUGCCAGCAGCCGCGGUAAUUC
rnacentral:rRNA from 1 species